rnacentral:pre_miRNA from 1 species
GAGUUGCCAGUGCUGUACCAUGCUGGUAGCCAGUGUGAACUAGGCCUUGCUGGUAACCAGUGUUGUGCCUCACUGACUGCUC